rnacentral:lncRNA from 1 species
AGGUAAUUUGACGUUUGAGGUUGUGUAGUUUUACUUGUUCUUGUUGAACUGUGUAGUUUUUUGGGAAUAUGUUUCCUGAGAUGUAAAUUUUUUUGGUCACCAAUAUCCCUGACUACUUGGAACACUAACAAUUGAAAAUUAGAACAUAAAGGAUGGUUUUAACAACAUACUAAAUCCAGUGGAAGUGAAUAUUAGAGGACUAAAAGAGAUCCAAAGAAGUGGACUGCAUCACAGACUGAGAGAAAGAUGUGGAAGAUUUGAGAAAUUAAAUACACGGAGAACGAAGACAUAUGAAAAAAUAAAUUGGACACACUUUAAUGCCUGAAGUGAACUCAUACCACUGAUAUAGAGUCAAAUGGAAAUGCAUAAGCUGGUGCAAUUCCUGGGACCGUCACGCAAAGAAAAAACUGGAAGAAGGUGAGUUGUGUGACAUGAGACACAUCACUUCCCGAUGAAUACUUUGGGUAUGUUUUGUCUCAGAAAAACUCCACAUUUGUCAAUUUGUG